rnacentral:rRNA from 1 species
GCUACGGGAGGCAGCAGUGGGGAAUAUUGCACAAUGGGGGAAACCCUGAUGCAGCGACGCCGCGUGAGUGAAGAAGUAUCUCGGUACGUAAAGCUCUAUCAGCAGGGAAGAUAAUGACGGUACCUGACCAAUAAGCCCCGGCUAACUACGUGCCAGCAGCCGCGGUAAUACGUAGGGGGCAAGCGUUAUCCGGAUUGACUGGGUGAAAAGGGAGCGUAGACGGCAGGACAAGUCUGAAGUGAAAUCCCGGGGCUUAACCCCGGAACUGCAUUGGAUACUGUGCGGCUGGAGUGCAGGAGGGGUAGGCGGAAUUCCUAGUGUAGCGGUGAAAUGCGUAGAUAGUAGGAGGAACACCGGUGGCGAAGGCGGCCUACUGGACUGUAACUGACGUUGAGGCUCGAAAGCGUGGGGAGCAAACAGGAUUAGAUACCCCGGUAGUC